UCUGUAGGGGUCAUUGGCAGUUGCUGGUAAUUCUUCCUCAGAAGUUUGUUGUGGUUCUUUUGUGUUCAUUACACAAGAAGUCUAACACUUUGAAAAUUAAAAGUACUUUACAAGCAGCGGUUGAGGCUCAUUCUAGGUUGCAGGGACAACAAAUCACUUCUAGAAAGAAGUUGCAGUUCAUUACGCCAACUUGCUCACGUCAACCGGAAAGCUAUGAGUGUGGA